rnacentral:rRNA from 1 species
UACGUAGGGUGCAAGCGUUAAUCGGAAUUACUGGGCGUAAAGCGUGCGCAGGCGGUGAUGUAAGACAGAUGUGAAAUCCCCGGGCUCAACCUGGGAACUGCAUUUGUGACUGCAUCGCUGGAGUGCGGCAGAGGGGGAUGGAAUUCCGCGUGUAGCAGUGAAAUGCGUAGAUAUGCGGAGGAAUACGAUGGCGAAGGCAAUCCCCUGGGCCUGCACUGACGCUCAUGCACGAAAGCGUGGGGAGCAAACAGG